rnacentral:rRNA from 1 species
UUGUAGGGAACGUGAAAGGACGACCUUCGGGAGCCUAUACAGGUGUUGCAUGGCUGUCGUCAGCUCGUGUCGUGAGAUGUUCGGUUAAGUCCGCUAACGAGCGCAACCCUCGUCGUAUGUUAUAUGUGUCAUACGAGACUGCCGGUAAAAAGCCGGAGGAAGGUGAGGAUGAUGUCAAGUCAGCAUGACCUUUAUAUCCAGGGCUACACACACGCUACAAUGGUCUGUACAAUGGGUAGCCAAGCCGCGAGGCGGAGCCAAUCCUGAAAGCAGGCCUCAGUUCAGAUUGCAGUCUGCAACUCGACUGCAUGAAGCCGGAGUUGCUAGUAACCGCAGGUCAGCAAUACUGCGGUGAAUACGUUCCCGGGUCUU